GGUGGAAUUGUAGGGAUGGCACCGUGAGGAUGUUGGAAUCUCCCCUCGGGGUUUGGAUUACCAGUUGACUCGUGGUUCCUCGCCCCUCCCCGACUGUUGUCCUCGUGUAUUCUAAUUCCUUCUCUAGCCUUCCACCCUCUACAAUUACAGGUACAAUUUUUGUCAUGUUGAAAAAAAAUAUUUUCACAAUAUAAGAUGUUUGGUUUUCUUUUAUAUUACAUGUGAUGCUCAUAUUUCAAUGUGUGGAACAGACAUGUUAUUGAAUUGUUAAUUGGGAAAUUUUGAAAAUGAGGAUCCGAGCAAUGUUGCACCUGAUGCAACCAUUGCCUAUUAUAAUCAUGAUUAUAUUGUUUUAAUCGGAUAUAGGCCAGAAGGGCCAUUGAUUUUAAUUCAGAAUUGAGAGGUUACAGACAUCAGAUUGAGCUUGUCAGGUCAUUAAUUAGACAGAGGUUACCACCUAGGAGUUCGUACUCAGAGGACUUAGUCGUGUACUGAGGAGAUGGAAGUAGUGAAAUGUCGACGACAACUUGACAUUUACAUUCGGCCGAGGCUUAUCUCUGCUUACACGCAUUACAGAAGCUCCCUAGUUUGUUUUCAUUGCAUUCAUUGUCGAUUGUCAACAUGUAGAUUAACUUACGUGAGUUCUAUUUACAUAUAACUGCAAAAAGAAUGAAAUGAAUGCCGUACAGAGCUUAUAGAGGGCAUACUAAUCUGGGUCAGAGAGGUAUAUGUAUUUAGAUAAAACGGCACAGUUAAUGUUCUAUGACUUAAUUUUGUUAAUUUAUUUCAACAAAAUUAUUGAGCCAAU